UACGUAGGAGGCAAGCGUUGUCCGGAAUUACUGGGCGUAAAGGGCGCGUAGGUGGCCUUCUUAGUCAGACGUGAAAUCCCCGGGCUUAACUCGGGAACUGCGUCUGAUACUGGAAGGCUUGAGUUCGGGAGAGGAAUGUGGAAUUCCAGGUGUAGCGGUGAAAUGCGUAGAUAUCUGGAGGAACACCGGUGGCGAAGGCGGCAUUCUGGACCGAAACUGACGCUGAGGCGCGAAAGCCAGGGGAGCAAACGGG
rnacentral:rRNA from 1 species